AGAGUUUGAUCCUGGCUCAGAAUCAACGCUGGCGGCGUGCCUAACACAUGCAAGUCGAACGCGACUUGGGGCUUCGGUUCCAAGUUGAGUGGCGAACGGGUGAGUAACACGUGGGUGAUCUACCUUCGAGCGGGGGAUAACGUUCCGAAAGGAACGCUAAUACCGCAUGAUGUCCUGGGGUUAAAGACCUGGAGACCAAAGCUAGGGACCGCAAGGCCUGGCACUUGAAGAGGAGCCCGCGUCCGAUUAGCUAGUUGGCGGGGUAACGGCCCACCAAGGCGACGAUCGGUAGCCGGCCUGAGAGGGCGGACGGCCACACUGGGACUGAGACACGGCCCAGACUCCUACGGGAGGCAGCAGUGGGGAAUUGUUCACAAUGGGCGCAAGCCUGAUGACGCAACGCCGCGUGGGGGAUGAAGGUCUUCGGAUCGUAAACCCCUGUCGAAUGGGACGAAUAGCCUUCGAAUUAAUACCUCGGAGGAAUGACGGUACCGUUAAAGGAAGCCACGGCUAACUCUGUGCCAGCAGCCGCGGUAAUACAGAGGUGGCAAGCGUUGUUCGGAAUUACUGGGCGUAAAGGGCGCGUAGGCGGCCAUCUAAGUCAGACGUGAAAUCCCCCGGCUCAACCUGGGGACUGCGUCUGAUACUGGGAGGCUAGAGUUUGGGAGAGGGAUGUAGAAUUCCAGGUGUAGCGGUGAAAUGCGUAGAUAUCUGGAGGAAUACCGGUGGCGUAGGCGGCAUCCUGGACCAAUACUGACGCUGAGGCGCGAAAGCUAGGGGAGCAAACGGGACUAGAUACCCCGGUAGUCCUAGCCCUAAACGAUGAAUACUUGGUGUGGCGGGUAUCGAUCCCUGCCGUGCCGAAGCUAACGCAUUAAGUAUUCCGCCUGGGGAGUACGGUCGCAAGGCUGAACUCAAAGGAA
rnacentral:rRNA from 1 species